UGGGGAAUAUUGGACAAUGGGCGAAAGCCUGAUCCAGCCAUGCCGCGUGUGUGAAGAAGGUCUUCGGAUUGUAAAGCACUUUAAGUUGGGAGGAAGGGCAUUAACCUAAUACGUUAGUGUUUUGACGUUACCGACAGAAUAAGCACCGGCUAACUCUGUGCCAGCAGCCGCGGUAAUACAGAGGGUGCAAGCGUUAAUCGGAAUUACUGGGCGUAAAGCGCGCGUAGGUGGUUUGUUAAGUUGGAUGUGAAAGCCCCGGGCUCAACCUGGGAACUGCAUCCAAAACUGGCAAGCUAGAGUACGGUAGAGGGUGGUGGAAUUUCCGGUGUAGCGGUGAAAUGCGUAGAUAUAGGAAGGACCACCAGUGGCGAAGGCGACCACCUGGACUGAUACUGACACUGAGGUGCGAAAGCGUGGGGAGCAAACA
rnacentral:rRNA from 1 species